GCCUUCAUGGUAUAAUGGUCAAGCACACUCGAGGCUUAUUCGAGAGGUCCGUGGUUCGAGUCCCGGCGAGGACA
rnacentral:tRNA from 1 species